UACGUAGGGUGCGAGCGUUGUCCGGAAUUACUGGGCGUAAAGAGCUCGUAGGUGGUUUGUCGCGUUGUUCGUGAAAUCUCACGGCUUAACUGUGAGCGUGCGGGCGAUACGGGCAGACUUGAGUACUGCAGGGGAGACUGGAAUUCCUGGUGUAGCGGUGGAAUGCGCAGAUAUCAGGAGGAACACCGGUGGCGAAGGCGGGUCUCUGGACAGUUCCUGACGCUGAGGCACGAAGGUCAGGGGAGCAAACGGG
rnacentral:rRNA from 1 species